AUGUCCUGGAUUGGUCUGACUGAUGAAGAUAGAGAGGGUCUCUGGACGUGGGUGGACAACACACAGCUAACCACAGCAGAGUACUGGCAUCCCGGUGAACCGAAUGGUGGAAGAGAGGAGAACUGUGGAAUGAUUUGGAUGAAUUAUGAUGCCUGGAAUGACGCCUCGUGCUCUGCAGCGCUCCCCUGGAUAUGUGAGAAAUAUGCAUAUCGUUAGGUUCUAAAAGGACCUAGUAGAACUCACAACGAUUAGUCAAACUUUAACCACGUUUAUUCACCCAUUGGGUCAUACAAUUGCAUAAGACAAAGACAUGGUUCCAUCAAUGGUAGUAUAUAUACACCCCAAUUUGGCUGACGUUCUCCUCUCUAAACGUAACUUCCUGCCUAGCAAAAAAUAUGUAAAGUGAUACGGGCAAUAAACUAUUACUUCUCCUUUAACAUGACCUGACCUUCACUAAUCCACAGCUCGCCACCAUUAUCAGUCACUGCAGUCAUGUAAUAUCCUCUACUCAGGACCUCCCAAAUCCCCCUGGCUCCUAUCCAACCUUCAUUGACCCAAUGAUAUACAUUCCUCCUACAGAUACCCCUUAACUUCUGGUGUAGAAACCAGAUUAUGGCACUCCUCAUGUCUCUAGCAUAACUGAUGAUUAACAAUAUUUAAAGUUUAGAAAUCCAAACCCAUCAAUGUGCUUAAGAGACGCAGCUCAUAUAAUCUAUGCAUGCAUACACGGCCUACCUGAGUGAUCUAGUUGAACCGCUCUACUCAGCAAAUUCACCAUGUUGUUUGGCCUGUAAUGUUGUUUGUCUGUAAAUGACAGUCGUCUCUAUGAGCUCAUUCACAACGAUCAUGUCACUCUCUGUAUCACACCUGCUGUCUCCCUUCCACCACGCCCUGCACAGUGAAGUCAUCAUUACUUAGCCUGAGCUGACCAAGGACUGUACACAGUGUGACCCUUUAUUUAUACACUGCAAUUGAGAAAAGUUUGUCGACAUUGUUAGCCGUAGAGUAGUUUGUCGACAUUGUUAGCCAUAGAGUAGUUUGUCGACAUUGUUAGCCAUAGAGUAGUUUGUCGACAUUGUUAGCCAUAGAGUAGUUUGUCGACAUUGUUAGCCAUAGAGUAGUUUGUCGACAUUGUUAGCCAUAGAGUAGUUUGUCGACAUUGUUAGCCAUAGAGUAGUUUGUCGACAUUGUUAGCCAUAGAGUAGUUUGUCGACAUUGUUAGCCAUAGAGUAGUUUGUCGACAUUGUUAGCCAUAGAGUAGUUUGUUGACAUUGUUAGCCAUAGAGUAGUUUGUCGACAUUGUUAGCCGUAGAGUAGUUUGUCGACAUUGUUAGCCGUAGAGUAGUUUGUCGACAUUGUUAGCCGUAGAGUAGUUUGUCGACAUUGUUAGCCAUAGAGUAGUUUGUCGACAUUGUUAGCCAUAGAGUAGUUUGUCGACAUUGUUAGCCAUAGAGUAGUUUGUCGACAUUGUUAGCCAUAGAGUAGUUUGUCGACAUUGUUAGCCAUAGAGUAGUUUGUCGACAUUGUUAGCCAUAGAGUAGUUUGUUGACAUUGUUAGCCGUAGAGUAGUUUGUCGACAUUGUUAGCCAUAGAGUAGUUUGUCGACAUUGUUAGCCAUAGAGUAGUUUGUCGACAUUGUUAGCCAUAGAGUAGUUUGUUGACAUUGUUAGCCGUAGAGUAGUUUGUUGUUUUAUGUUUUUAUUUUGCAUUGUCAGUUUAUUUUUUGAUUGCUGUUGAGACAACUUUUAUCACGUGAUUAUGUAUUUCUUGACCUGCCUUAUGAUAUACUUUAAUACUGUGUGCUGUUUUUUAGUCUUGGGCUAAUAAAAGGAAAUACAUAACUUCAGAUAAAUGCUCUGUUCCAUUAUAUCCACACUAUAUUAGAGAUACAUGGCCGUGCCAGAGUCUGGUGAAGCGGUCCAAGCUCCUGACUCUAGACCUCACAUGCCCCCAGAGUGUGUCUACCUCCUUUCGGACCUUCUCUAUGGUUAUCUUCAUCCGUUCUGUUAUAAAAAAUUAUAAAAUACAUUUCCCACUGACUGUGAGAAACUCUAGCUCCUCCACUCUGAGGUAAUAGAAACAGAUCUCCAGACCUGUGUAGAGUAGAUCAGAUAGCAGUUCUCUCCAGUCCUGUGUAGAGUAGAUCAGAUAGCAGUUCUCUCCAGUCCUGUGUAGAGUAGAUCAGAUAGCAGUUCUCUCCAGUCCUGUGUAGAGUAGAUCAGAUAGCAGUUCUCUCCAGUCCUGUGUAGAGUAGAUCAGAUAGCAGUUCUCUCCAGUCCUGUGUAGAGUAGAUCAGAUAGCAGUUCUCUCCAGUCCUGUGUAGAGUAGAUCAGAUAGCAGUUCUCUCCAGUCCUGUGUAGAGUAGAUCAGAUAGCAGUUCUCUCCAGUCCUGUGUAGAGUAGAUCAGANNNNNNNNNNGACAUUGUUAGCCAUAGAGUAGUUUGUCGACAUUGUUAGCCAUAGAGUAGUUUGUUGACAUUGUUAGCCGUAGAGUAGUUUGUUGUUUUAUGUUUUUAUUUUGCAUUGUCAGUUUAUUUUUUGAUUGCUGUUGAGACAACUUUUAUCACGUGAUUAUGUAUUUCUUGACCUGCCUUAUGAUAUACUUUAAUACUGUGUGCUGUUUUUUAGUCUUGGGCUAAUAAAAGGAAAUACAUAACUUCAGAUAAAUGCUCUGUUCCA
rnacentral:lncRNA from 13 species